rnacentral:rRNA from 1 species
UACGGAGGGUGCGAGCGUUAAUCGGAAUUACUGGGCGUAAAGCGCGCGUAGGCGGCUUUGUAAGUCGGAUGUGAAAGCCCCGGGCUUAACCUGGGAAUUGCAUUCGAUACUGCGUGACUAGAGUAUGGUAGAGGGAAGCGGAAUUCCGGGUGUAGCGGUGAAAUGCGUAGAUAUCCGGAGGAACACCAGUGGCGAAGGCGGCUUCCUGGGCCGUAACUGACGCUGAGGAGCGAAAGCAUGGGGAGCGAACAGG